UGUCUGCCGUUCACCGCUGAGGCGUCGUUAAACAGACAGCUUUAGGAAGGUCACUGCGUCCUCACCACCGAUACCAUCGAGCGAUCGACAGGCUCUUCACAGGUGCCGGCCCCCACACGCAGCGGGGCCAUCACUGACUCUCGCGGUUUACCUUUCUGCCGGCGAGUCUGCAUGAACUUAAAAGGAGCGAAAGCUGAGGGAGGGGCGUUAACCAGAUGGACGGCGACCCGCGCGUGAGCGCCCUACAAUGGGAGGUGACCAAAGAGGCCUCGACGUCGCCCAAGACGUGGGCGGAGCUGGCCCGCACCACCGCUGCAGCCGCCGCGGCUGAUCCCGUGGAAAGGGCGAACGCGGUGACGCUAGUGUACGAGCGCGCCUUGCGUGCGUUCGCCUCCUCCUACAAGCUGUGGACGGCCUACAUUGGCUAUCGCCAGCAGGAGACCAGUAGGUUGUGCGGGCCGAAUGAGUGGUUCCAAGCGGUGCGCGAGGUGUACGAACGGGCGUUGGCCGAGCUUCCGAAGAUGCCGAUGCUCUGGGUCGGGUACAUGGAGUUUGUCGUUGCCUCUGAAGUGCCGCGUGUGACAAUGACGCGGCACAUACUCGCGCGCGCCCUGUCCGCGCUGCCAGCGACUCAGCAUCAUCAUCUCUGGAAAGUUGCGAAGCGCUGGUGCGCUAUGCCCGUCGUGCCCAGUGCCACCGUGCGGGCUGUCUGGCGGCUUUAUCUGUCCUUCCAGCGCUCCCUGCAUGCGAAGCGGGAGUACUUUCAGGUGCUCGUGCAGAAGGGCGACUUCAAUGGGUUUCUGCAGGAGUGCGUGCACCUGGGGCUGCCCAACAAGUCGAAUAAGGGCGCCGUCGAGGAGCGUGACCUGCUCUUGAGCGACGUGAGCUUUUGGGAAACGGUGCAGACGGCGCUGCAGGGAAAAGGCUGGCGCUUCACAGGCGAUAUUGGCCCGCUGCGUGAGCUGGUCGCUCUCGGGAAGAUGCACUGCGCCUCCCCGGUCGAGCUCUCAAUGGCCUUCGCCGUUUUUCUUUACGGUCAGGGGCACAUGCAAGAGGGCCGACAGGAACUGCGCCAGCUGCUGGACGAGGCACCGGAGGCCCAGACGCUGAUCUCGCUCUACCACCUUGCCGUGGAGGUGGAAGACCAACUCGUGGAGUCUUUCGCCGUGGAUCCCGAUCUCAGACGCCUCGACGACGCCGCGUACAACGGUGUAGUGCAGCAUCUCUUCGGUGACGGCGACCCACUCAGCCACCUCGAGCGACUUGCGCACGAGUUCCCGCUGCUCCUCAACCAGGCGCAGCUGCGGAACAGCCCGCACAAUGCAACACUGUGGCUGAAGCGUGUGGAGCUGCUGCAGGAGGACGUCUACGCCGGCCGCUCCACCUUUGACGAUCUCGUCGCUCUCUACCGCCAGGCUAUUCAGCAGUGUACUGCAGGUAUGUCGCGUGUAGACGGCGCGGCGGCGCAGCUGUUCUCUUCUUGUGCCCAGACCCUCAUUCGUGGCGGCAAGCUGGACAGCGCCAUAGCGGUACUUAGUGAGGGCACGUGGUGCGUGCCAUUCACCAGUGCCGCGCUCAACGUGCAGCUCCUUGGUCUUCUUGUUGAGGCUCAGCUGAUGUCGUCCGCCUCGCCCUUGUCAGUGCGGGAUGCGCUCGCGGAGAGACUGACCAGCGGCGCUCGCAGUGGCGCUUCAAAGCGCAGCCGAAACGGCCUUCUGCAGUCGAGUGCAGCCCUGCCCCACGUCGUGCACCACCCACACGCGUGGAUCAUGUGGUGUGACGUUUGCGCUGCCUACGACUCGGCCAACGCGGCCGCUUGGCGCCGCCUUGUCGAGGCACUCGCCAGCUCGCCCGCUUUCUCUGCGGAAGCCGCCUGCUACGUGGCUCACAAGGCCUACAUCUGUAGGCAAGAGUCCGUUGCGGUCAUGAUGCUGGAGAGGGCCGUCGCUGCGACGCGGCAGCAGCCUACCGCGCAGCUUUUUGUGCUGGAGCAGUACCUCUCCUUCCUGUACACCCGCGACGGCCGACAGAUGCCGCUGCAUCAGUUCCGCGAAGUGUUCAGCCUUGUGCAGCAAGUGACCCCGGUCGCCAUACGCACUGCACCGUCUGCUGUCAUCGACCUGCACGUCAGCUGCGCUUACAUGGAGGCAGCGAUCGGCCUAUACGGGACAGCUGUUCGCAUGAUGCAGGAGAUUUCCUUAGUCGCUACUGCAGCGCUGCGGGGUCGUGAUGAGCACCUCCGUGUCCUGCAGGCCAUUCUUGAGCACUCUAUCACCUUCACAGAGCAGCGCAGGGGCUACGAUUCGGUGCGCACGUACUGCGGGGUUCUUGUUCAGCGCCUCCAGCACGCACUCCUGCUGCAGCGUGUUGCGCUUCACUGGGCCGCGAUCGAGAAGCGCUCUGGCAACACGGCACAGGCGCAUCUUAUCCUCGACGCGUGCGGGGACAGCCAGGACCCGUCCACGGAGCAUGGCGAGGUGUACUGGCGACUGUGGGAAUCUCUCUGCACAAGUGUGGAGGAGUUUGAGAAGGUGGCUCGGCGACGCCAGCAGGCAUUGAUCCGCUUCAGCAAACGCGAGGGUGCGAAGGGAGCGGAGUAGAGUUGCUGGCAUGCGUGCCUGUGUGACGUGCCGCUUCCACAACGCGGAUGUUCGUGCUGUUCGACUUCCCCUACGCCCUCCUUGGGCAACGAAGAAGAGCCGCAUAUGAAAAGAGGCACCGAACGACUGAGUCGACCCUGUUUCCCACGCGUGACUGUGUAGAUGGGUGGCUCUUUUUGCACCCUUACCUCCUACCUGUUGCUGAACUGCGCGCCGGCUGUGCCAACCGUGUAGAAGGUGUGCUUACGAUCGCAGAUUCCUCGCCGCGCUCUUGUGAAGCGGCCACAGGCAUUUCUCGUUACUGCGUGCAUGCAACGGGCCCUCAUGAUGGCGGAGGACACCUCAGCGGCUGUAUCCGCGCCUGGUGCCCACUCUGUGGGGAAUGUGGGAGGGGGGAGGGGGAAGCCACGCAGCCUGCAGCCCGACCUCGGGUGUUGGCUGCAGACUCUCGGUGUUGGGGGACAGAUCCGGGCUCGCGCGGCGCCGGAGAGAUUUACCGUCUUUGACCGCUCUUGGGCCCGCUCAGCACAGACCGUCUCGAGGAUUCAGCAAAAAUAAGCACGCGAUGAGCUGUGUGCAGGCGCUUUCACCCAUCGCUGGCAUGGCGCGUCCCAUCCGAAGAAAGCCUCCACACGUGAGCAGAGCACGAGGGAUGCACGGAAGAGGCAGGAAGAGGUCCGUGCGAGUCAACUCCACAGUGCAUGUGUGCGAAGUAUGCAGCAUCUUCUACAUCCCGACCGAGUGGGCUGAUGAGGCACAGAUGCCGGAAGCGUGACGACAACACCCCGAAUGAGGCCGUCGAGCCAGUGAAGCGCUCAUGUGGCGAGUCACCGCGCCACGCUGUGGGAUGCCGCGGCUUGAAGCAACUCAGCGGACGUGGCACAGCGUACGGACCGAGUGCAGGAUCUCAGUGGGCCCUGGCCUGCAGCUGGCCAACCUCCUCCCUGGGCUCACGUGGCAUGCGCCCGGGCCACCAGCCCCUGCUGCCCGCACGACGGAAGCCACCGCUUCCGCCCCUCAACCAGGCCCCUGGGCGCGGCCCGCGUGGGUUGAAGCGUGCAGUGCGCCCAGGCCCAUGUGGCGCUGAUCGCGCAGCACGCAUGCGAAGAAGGGAGGAGGAGGGACCGGAAGAGCUCGUCAGCGCCACGGGCCGACUCGACGGCAGAACGGCUCGUCCUAGACGACCUGGGCUCAGCCGCAGUGCAGCAGUGGUGGGUGAGCUGUGGUUGUGCAUUGCGUCGGCGUGCUGCGUUGAUGGUGAGGUAAUGCGUUGAGACACUUAGCGCAUGCCGCCUUGCGAGUGAGU
rnacentral:misc_RNA from 1 species